rnacentral:rRNA from 1 species
AUUGAACGCUGGCGGCAGGCCUAACACAUGCAAGUCGAACGAGUGGCGGACGGGUGAGUAAUGUCUGGGAAACUGCCCGAUGGAGGGGGAUAACUACUGGAAACGGUAGCUAAUACCGCAUACCAUCGGAUGUGCCCAGAUGGGAUUAGCUAGUAGGUGGGGUAAAGGCUCACCUAGGAGACGAUCCCUAGCUGGUCUGAGAGGAUGACCAGCCACACUGGAACGCAGACACGGCCCAGACUCCUACGGGAGGCAGCAGUGGGGAAUAUGGCACAAUGGGCGCACGCCUGAGGCAGCCAUGCCGCGUGCAUGAAGAAGGCUUUCGGGUUGUAAAGUACUUACAGCGGGGAGGCGUUACCCGCAGAAGAAGCACCGGCUAACUCCGUGCCAGCAGCCGCGGUAAUAC